rnacentral:rRNA from 1 species
GACGUAGGGUCCGAGCGUUGUCCGGAGUUACUGGGCGUAAAGGGCUCGUAGGCGGUUUGUCGCGUCGGGAGUGAAAUCCACUGGCUUAACUGGUGGCUUGCUUUCGAUACGGGCAGACUGGAGGUAUGCAGGGGAGAACGGAAUUCCUGGUGUAGCGGUGAAAUGCGCAGAUAUCAGGAGGAACACCGGUGGCGAAGGCGGUUCUCUGGGCAUGUCCUGACGCUGAGGAGCGAAAGUGUGGGGAGCGAACAGG